rnacentral:lncRNA from 1 species
GGCGGAAUCUGAACAAGACUUGGUGGCUACAACUGAUACCACUCAAAUUACCCUAAGGAGUGUUACUCUUAUCAAAAGAGCUUCAGAUGUAGUACUUAGGGAUCGAAUCCACAAGGAGCUAGGGAACAAUUAAAUCUAGUGUUAUUAAUUCCAAAGGUUGUAAAUGUCUAAAUGAAAUAGCAAUAGUAACAAGCGAGUAAAUAAUAAAUUUAACUUGGUUGGAAAUGAUAUUAGAUGCAGGGCCACAAUUUAGGUGUUGGAGAUUAUAAUACCUAUAAAUGCCUAACUGUUGCAUGCAUGAUAUAUAAGAGCCCAUUCGCUUAACUCAGUGAUCAGCUGUCGCAUGUACCACCGGUUAACAUACUAGAUCUCGUGUCUCAACG